GCCCACAUGGCGAAAUGGUUAACGCGUCAGACUUUUAAAUAAAGUAAUCUGAAUAUUGCGAGUUCGAGUCUCGCUGUGGGCG